GACAGAGGCCUCAAGCGUUAGGCGGAAUCACUGGGCUUAAAGCGUGUGUAGGCGGAUCGUUAAGUGUCUUGUGAAAUCCCACGGCUCACCCGUGGAACUGCUGGGCAUACUGGCGAUCUUGGGCCAACUAGGGGCAACUGGAACAAGCGGUGGAGCGGUGAAAUGCGUAGAUAUCAGGAAGAACACCAAUGGCGAAAGCAGCUUUCUGGGACGGUACUGACGCUGAGACGCGAAAGCGUGGGGAGCGAACAGG
rnacentral:rRNA from 1 species